rnacentral:rRNA from 1 species
GAAGCCCAGCUUGCUGGGUGGAUUAGUGGCGAACGGGUGAGUAACACGUGAGUAACCUGCCCCUGACUCUGGGAUAAGCCCGGGAAACUGGGUCUAAUACCGGAUAUGACUUUUGACUGCAUGGUUGAGGGUGGAAAGAUUUAUCGGUUGGGGAUGGACUCGCGGCCUAUCAGCUUGUUGGUGAGGUAAUGGCUCACCAAGGCGACGACGGGUAGCCGGCCUGAGAGGGUGACCGGCCACACUGGGACUGAGACACGGCCCAGACUCCUACGGGAGGCAGCAGUGGGGAAUAUUGCACAAUGGGCGCAAGCCUGAUGCAGCGACGCCGCGUGAGGGAUGACGGCCUUCGGGUUGUAAACCUCUUUCAGUAGGGAAGAAGCGAAAGUGACGGUACCUGCAGAAGAAGCGCCGGCUAACUACGUGCCAGCAGCCGCGGUAAUACGUAGGGCGCAAGCGUUAUCCGGAUUUAUUGGGCGUAAAGAGCUCGUAGGCGGUUUGUCGCGUCUAUCGUGAAAGUCCGAGGCUCAACCUCGGAUCUGCGGUGGGUACGGGCAGACUAGAGUGAUGUAGGGGAGACUGGAAUUCCUGGUGUAGCGGUGAAAUGCGCAGAUAUCAGGAGGAACACCGAUGGCGAAGGCAGGUCUCUGGGCAUUUACUGACGCUGAGGAGCGAAAGCAUGGGGAGCGAACAGGAUUAGAUACCCUGGUAGUCCAUGCCGUAAACGUUGGGCACUAGGUGUGGGGGACAUUCCACGUUUUCCGCGCCGUAGCUAACGCAUUAAGUGCCCCGCCUGGGGAGUACGGCCGCAAGGCUAAAACUCAAAGGAAUUGACGGGGGCCCGCACAAGCGGCGGAGCAUGCGGAUUAAUUUCGAUGCAACGCGAAGAACCUUACCAAGGCUUUGACAUGUUCCAGAUCGCCUCAGAGAUGGGGUUUCCCUUCGGGGCUGGCUCACAGGUGGUGCAUGGUUGUCGUCAGCUCGUGUCGUGAGAUGUUGGGUUAAGUCCCGCA